GAUAUCAUUCUUUUUUUAUCUUUAAAGAACCUUGUUCUAAAUGUUCAGCACUACACUUGGGUCCUGAAUACCUGAGUGUAGUAGUCAUAGUCAGCUGGAAUAAGGACUUUCAUUUGGCUAUAGAGAAUAUCUGAGUGGUCUUCUCUGAUGGGUACCACAUAACAGCUGAAACAUACUACUAUGGCUAUGCAUAUUUGGAAAUAGUAGGUGUAUAUCUAGAUAAUUGUUUCACAUAUUAAUGAACUGGUUACAGUAUAGUUAAACAUUUACUCAGCAGGAAAUAUCAUAAUAUUUUCAAAAGUAAUAAUGACUAUUUUUGUUUCCUAUUCAUAAAGUAUGGAGAACAGGCAUGAAGAUUUUCAUUACAAAAAGAGUAGAUCCAGGCAUGUUGGCACACAUCUGUAUUUUUAGCACUUGAAAGGUAAAGAAAGGAAUAUCAGGAUUUAAAAGUCAUCCUCAGCUACAUUGUAGUUUCAAGACCAGCCUGUGAAUGAUAGGAAAGCCUGUCUUAAUAUAGGCAAAAGACAAAAACAAAACAAGAAAUAGGCAAGGUGUGGUAGCACAUAGAGAAUCUCAGCAGUCAACAGUCUGAUGCAGGAUGGACCGCAAGUUUGAUGUUAGUCUAGACUUCACAACUAGCCAGCUGAACACAGACACAGACACAGACACACACACACACACACACACACACAGACACACACACAGACACACACACACACACACACACACACACAGACACACAGACACACACACACACACACACACACACCUACAAACGGUGGAAGUAUAAAACUAUGCCAUGUAAAAAAUGAACAAGUAGAAAAUUAUUUGUGAAAACAUUUCAGUAUUGCUGAUGUUUUAAAAGGAAUAAUAUUUAGAAUAUAUAAAUUUUGUAGCUCGAUUAUACAGAUUUCAGUUUGUUUUUUUUUGUGUGUGAAACUUAUCUUUAAUUUUAAAAGGGAGUGGUACCUACUCCCCUACUUUUAAUCUGGUUUAAUUGGGUAGUAAAAUGUGUAGGAUUUCCUCAAAAGCCUUGGGAGAAAAUCAUAUAUUGUCUUGAUUGUCAUAGAAAAUAGGUAAAUCAGUUGGAAUGGGUCAGCAUGUCAAAUGUGUUCAGGGACUAACCAU
rnacentral:lncRNA from 1 species